rnacentral:lncRNA from 1 species
GCUGUAGAUGGCUGAUUGACCCCAGGACCCAAAAGGAAAGAAAACGCUCAGAAUUAAUUAAAAAACCUGAAUUGGAAUUUACUAGGGCUGUAGCUCUGGCUUCUGUCUUGGAUACUGAUACCCGGCAGAUGCUGAAAACUGGACCUGCUCAAUAUGUCAAGGAUAGAACCACCAUCCCCUGCCUUGGCUUGAAUUAAUCCCUGUAUGGAACAGGGAAGUGCUUGUAUAGAUCAAGAUUGACAAAGCAGCCCCUUUCCCUCGGUGAGUAUGUGUGGGUGCAUGUGUGAAAAGAAGGAUGUACGCAAUGCUUGCCCCCUCUUCCAGCAUAUUAAGGAACCCCAUAAGCUAUAGAUCGGAUUCAGUUCACCUCGGAUUAGAAUGCAGCUCAUUCUGAAAUGGAGGCGAGAACACCAGUUUGACAUUAACAGGCUAUACUAGGCAGACAACACAGCAAAAUCUAUUGUCACAAAUGGAACCUGCAACACAGCGUUGCAAUGUGGUGGACUCUCUCCUCACCAUUUCAGCCACUCCAUUCUGUUCCUCCUUCCUCAGUCCAGUUUUCUAUCUUCGCCCGCCCCCCUCCAAACCGCCAGUCACUGAAUUUGUCCUUUUGCGAAGCUUGGGGUUCCCCAACCCUGACAAUAAUAACAUCUCCCUCUUGGGUGGGGUAGCGCCAUUUUGGCAUUUUAAGCAAUGGCAGUCACAUUUGUACAUCAGAAAGAGAGGGAAUGAUGCUGGAGACUUAAAAGAGUAAAGGAGAAGGUAAAGUUACCUGAAAUUUGGCAGAAAUCAUUAUAACCAGUGUGUUAAGUCCUUAAGAACAUAGGGCGAGCUAUGCUGGAUCAGACGAAAGACCCAUCUUCUCUAGCAUUCUGUUCCUACCGUGAUUACCCAGAUGUCCAAGAGAAGCCCACAUGCAGGUUACGAGUGCAACAGCCCUCUCCUGCUCAUGUGUCCCCAGUGAAAUUCAUUCUGUUAGUUUGGGCCCUGUUCUCCAACUUAAGGUCAAAUUGAAUCCUGAUUCUGUCUUCAGCGGCGUUGGCUACUCCUCCCCGUUUGGUGUCAUCCUCAAAUUUGAUGAGCAUCCUCUCAAUACCUUCAUCCAUAAAGAUGUUGAAGAACAACGGGCCCAGGAGCAACAUGACCUACCUCACAAGAUAAUAGCAAGCAUAAAUGGCUGGUGUGUCAUCGUUGGUUUACUUACUGAAUGCAGGAUAGAUGUGGAUCACAGUGCAGGAUUAGGCAGGAUGGAGGUCUCCAAGAAACAUCACUGAAAUAAAAAAAUGCAGAAGUCUUGAUGCAACCAUUUAUUCUCUGUGCUUUGUUUCCAGAUCCAAAGUAACAGGUUUUCCUUUGAAAAAAAUUUUUCUUUUAAAAAAGCAGAAACGGUUGUGCAUUUAGGGUGUG